UAAAUUAUUGGUUAUUUUAUGACGUGGGAAGUUGUUAUUGUUGGAUUAUUUUAUUGCGUCAUCAUGAUGCGAGCAUCCGAAAAAGGAUGAACUGAUGAGGGCAAGAUAGUAACUAAGCAAUCUAUUAGUUUAAUUUUGAUGAACUGUCCAUGUGUCUUUACUUGGUUUUCCUUAAAAAUAAUUUAUAUGGAUAGGAUAUGGAAAAGGAACACAUCCUUUAGCAAGAGUAAUUAAACUAGAUGAAGGAAGGUUGAGGCUAUAUAUUAUGUAUGAAUUGACUAUUAUAUCCUUUGUUGGACCACAUGUAUUGGUUUGGUUAAUUUGAUGCUUUUAGGCAGUACUCUAUAUGUAUUUAUUUUUGGUGUGUGUUUAUGCCCCACAUUGAUUGAUGAAAGGCGUUUCUUAAUUGUGACUUGUGAGGUUGGGGAGGAGAAGGGGAGGGGGUGAGGAGGUGACUCAUCAUUAAAGUGACAUUUAUACUUUAAAAAACUUGUUUUAAAAAAGUGGUAAAAGAAAAUUAAUCUAUUCAUUAUCUUUGUUUGAAGUCCAAUUUUCCCCAUCUCAUAGCUUUUCUUUGCGUUUAAGCUCUAAUGCUGUAUUAUAUGCAAUUUUGUUGGGAAAAGCCUGAGACUGUAGUUUCCCUUUUUGUUGGAGAACAGUCAUGUUCAAUUGACACAGCAAACGAUAUUGAGAUCUUUGGCAGAUUCCUUUGCUGUCUUAUCAAUUAUUUGACGACUUGAUAGACUACACGAAUUAUUUAAAUACUCCUUCCGUUCAUUUUUGUUUUUUGUUUGAAACAUGCGCAGUCUAGCUCCCAUGCACACCUUUGAUCAUGGACACUUUUAAUUAUAUGGACGAGUAAAAUUAAUGAAGAAUUUAAUGUUUAUAUUACACAUUUAAACAAAUUUAACAUUUAAUGAACUAAGAAAGUUGGUUUUUUUUUUUUUUAAUGUUUUGCAGAUUUUUGUGAACUUCAUGGAUGUUGCUAUGUGGAUAUAAGCUUCCCUUUUCAGGAUAAAAUAUCUGAGGGGUGAUUUGUGGUAAGCUGACAAGCAGCGUAGUCAAGAAGUUGACAAAAGUUCUGCUUGGAUGACCUUUUUGUUUGAUAGGUGCCGAGGGUUGAAAUAAUUGUUUCUGGAUUAUUACAUUCACAUUUAUGCAACUAUGCAAGGUAAGGUCAAUGUAAACCAUAAGAUUUGGAUUUAUACUUAUGUGAGCAUUUCAAAGCAAGAUGAAGUGUAGGAUGGAACUACUGCUACUCCUUUUCCUUGCAAUAAUGGACUUCUCUCAAAAUAGAAUAAAAUUGGGUAACCGCCUUAUUGAUAGGGGAGGGAGCAUUGGUCCAAGACGAUGCAAUAUCUAUUCUAGGAUGGGAGGGACUAUUCAGUAGGUGUAUAACCAUAUCCAUUAGAAAUUUAUCAAGCUUCAAACAUUUCACUUGGGAGUUACCGUGUUAGUGCUAGUGAUCAAGUGUUUUAUCGAUUGUACUUUUCUGAGUGACCUUUUGAAAAGUAGUACUACUAUAAUUCUUAAACUUUAGGACUUAUUAUGAAGUAGCACCUGCUUUCAAUGUAAAAUCUAAGGUGAGGAAUGAGCCCCCUAUGUGAUGGGGUUUCGAUUUCUCAUAGCCCCUCCUUUCCCGUAGUUUACCGUUGAAAAAAAAAAAA